rnacentral:tRNA from 1 species
AUUCUAUUAGUAUAUAAGUAUAUUUAACUU